UACGUAGGGGGCAAGCGUUGUCCGGAUUCAUUGGGCGUAAAGAGCGUGUAGGCGGCCAGGUAGGUCGGUUGUGAAAACUGGAGGCUCAACCUUCAGAGGUCGACCGAAACCAUCUGGCUAGAGUCCGGGAGAGGAGAGUGGAAUUCCCAGUGUAGAGGUGAAAUUCGUAGAUAUUGGGAAGAACACCAGUGGCGAAGGCGGCUCACUGGACCGGAACUGACGCUGAGGCGCGAAAGCGUGGGGAGCAAACAGG
rnacentral:rRNA from 1 species